rnacentral:ncRNA from 1 species
UAAAUAGAGGAGCAAAUAAUAGGCUAACAAUUAUGUGAUAAAGUGAAGAACCACUGAUAAUAAUUGUGAAGGGUUUAUUUGCCGAAAGAUUAAAGUUGUUCUUAAGUUUAAUCUUGGGUGUAGAAAGGAUAUUUCUGCAACUGUCAUAAGAUUUUAUGGUGCGCUAUUUGU